AAUAGAUACCCGGGUAGUCCACGCCGUAAACGUUGGGCGCUAGAUGUGGGGACCAUUCCACGGUUUCCGUGUCGCAGCUAACGCAUUAAGCGCCCCGCCUGGGGAGUACGGCCGCAAGGCUAAAACUCAAAGGAAUUGACGGGGGCCCGCACAAGCGGCGGAGCAUGCGGAUUAAUUCGAUGCAACGCGAAGAACCUUACCAAGGCUUGACAUAUACGAGAACGCUCUAGAAAUAGAGAACUCUUUGGACACUCGUAUACAGGUGGUGCAUGGUUGUCGUCAGCUCGUGUCGUGAGAUGUUGGGUUAAGUCCCGCAACGAGCGCAACCCUCGUUCUAUGUUGCCAGCGCGUUAUGGCGGGGACUCAUAGGAGACUGCCGGGGUCAACUCGGAGGAAGGUGGGGAUGACGUCAAAUCAUCAUGCCCCUUAUGUCUUGGGCUUCACGCAUGCUACAAUGGCCGGUACAAAGGGCUGCAAUACCGCAAGGUGGAGCGAAUCCCAAAAAGCCGGUCUCAGUUCGGAUUGAGGU
rnacentral:rRNA from 1 species